CUGAAAGAGGAACGAAAGAGAAUACAGGAGAAGAACAAACAAGAAAAGGAGAGGAAAAAAAGAAAUUGUUGAAAAGAAAUCACUUGAAGGCAUUGAAAAGAAAAAGAAGGAAUAUUUCUCCAAAGAUGAUGUUGAAGGUGUGAAGCUAGCAGGAGAAACAAAGACGGGAGAGGCUGAUGAUGAAAAUGAUUCGGACUGGUACAGAAAGGAAGUUGGACAAGAUCCAGAUAAAGACCUGUUUUCAAAUCAUAAGUCUUCAGGCAUGAAAAGGACGUACUCAGACAAACAAUCUAGAGAUAGAUACAACAAGAAACUGAAGACUGACUUUAAUCAAGAUAGAGAUAAGAGAAAUAAUACAUCAUUCAAGCCUUGUUUUAGUAAGAGAUUUCAACAAAAAAGUCGCAGAAGCAAAAAAGUCAUGGGAAGUAAAGUCCGUAAAGGACAAAGGCAUCGAUGAAAUCACUUUAUACAUUGAAGAUUAUGUUGUAAAUAAAGUUUUAUAUAAGUGUU